rnacentral:rRNA from 1 species
AUUGAACGCUGGCGGUAUGCUUAACACAUGCAAGUCGAACGGUAACGGGCCUUCGGGCGCUGACGAGUGGCGGACGGGUGAGUAACGCGUAGGAAUCUGCCUCAUAGUGGGGGACAACGUGGGGAAACUCACGCUAAUACCGCAUACGCCCUACGGCGGAAAGCGGGGGAUCUUCGGACCUCGCGCUAUGAGAUGAGCCUGCGUUAGAUUAGCGAGUUGGUAGGGUAAAGGCCUACCAAGGCGACGAUCUAUAGCUGGUCUGAGAGGACGAUCAGCCACACUGGGACUGAGACACGGCCCAGACUCCUACGGGAGGCAGCAGUGGGGAAUAUUGGACAAUGAGCGCAAGCCUGAUCCAGCAAUACCGCGUGUGUGAAGAAGGCCCUAGGGUUGUAAAGCACUUUCAAUUGGGAGGAAAACCUGCCGGUCAAUACCCGGCAGCUUGACAUUACCUUUAGAAGAAGCACCGGCUAACUCCGUGCCAGCCGCCGCCGUAACAC